GGGUUGUGAGGUUAAGCGACUAAGCGUACACGGUGGAUGCCCUGGCAGUCAGAGGCGAUGAAGGGCGUGCUAAUCUGCGAUAAGCGCCGGUAAGGUGAUAUGAACCGUUAUAACCGGCGAUACCCGAAUGGGGAAACCCAGUGUGACUCGUCACACUAUCAUUAACUGAAUCCAUAGGUUAAUGAGGCGAACCGGGGGAACUGAAACAUCUAAGUACCCCGAGGAAAAGAAAUCAACCGAGAUUCCCCCAGUAGCGGCGAGCGAACGGGGAGGAGCCCAGAGCCUGAAUCAGCAUGUGUGUUAGUGGAAGCGUCUGGAAAGGCGCGCGAUACAGGGUGACAGCCCCGUACACAAAAGCGCAUGUGCUGUGAGCUCGAUGAGUAGGGCGGGACACGUGGUAUCCUGUCUGAAUAUGGGGGGACCAUCCUCCAAGGCUAAAUACUCCUGACUGACCGAUAGUGAACCAGUACCGUGAGGGAAAGGCGAAAAGAACCCCGGCGAGGGGAGUGAAAAAGAACCUGAAACCGUGUACGUACAAGCAGUGGGAGCACCCUUUGGGUGUGACUGCGUACCUUUUGUAUAAUGGGUCAGCGACUUAUAUUCUGUAGCAAGGUUAACCGAAUAGGGGAGCCGGAGGGAAACCGAGUCUUAACCGGGCGUUAAGUUGCAGGGUAUAGACCCGAAACCCGGUGAUCUAGCCAUGGGCAGGUUGAAGGUUGGGUAACACUAACUGGAGGACCGAACC
rnacentral:rRNA from 1 species